rnacentral:lncRNA from 1 species
CAUCAGCAAAGAUGACAUUGUGUCCUCUGCAAGGAGAGGGGCGAAGGGGCUCACAUCUGUUUUGGAAACCAUUCAGCGCAGGAAAACGACCCACAUGCAGAAGUAAUGUGGUUUUGAUUGUACUGUGCUCUAUAGAAAGUAGUGCACACAUAUUAAACUAUAUUAGACAGUAUAAUAAUAGCUUGCAGUUUGUCUGCCUUUCAUCUGGACGUGCCUCGCGGACGUCACGUGGAUGCAGAGCCCUCUUUCACUGCUGCUGAGCUGCAGCCGCCCCGCGCAUCCCUGCAGUGUGUGCAGCACAGCGCGUCCCAGAGGUGCUGACCAGGAUGCAGGAUUCCCUGGGAUCCAAAGAUCCCCAUCCUGCUGUGCCCCAGAUCUGAUGUGUAAGGAGCAGGAAAAUCUAAACACAAACGAGGAGUGCAGGAGGCACCGGCGCGAUGCGUGAUUUUAAGGGAUGUGGGCACCGUGCUGAUGCUGCGUGCUGUGUCAUUGGAGUCAACACAGAGGUUCUUCCCAUCCCUGCGGCUGUAAUAUCUGGAGCGCCUCCGCAGAUGAAAGGAAAAGACACCAUCUCUCCCACUCUCGCUCGCUCCGUGAGAGCUGAUGCAGUUAAUUGGAGCUUCUUGUGAGCGCACAUUAACACAGGCAGAGCCAAGAAGACGUCUUGGCAGCGAAAUAUCAUUAUCAGCUCUUGAGCUCCAGCCAAAAUCCCCUUGCGGUCAAAACACAAUUCUUUAAACUAAACAAUUAAAGAUUUGUGCAAGUGUUGCUGCCAUGAGUUAUCGGGGCCGGGGGGGCAGCGGGGAUGCAGGUGAUGGCUGAGCCCCAGCGUGGGGCAUGGGGAGGGGCCCUGUGAGCCAUCCCCAGUGUCCCCAUGGGGCUCAGCCCAGUGGCACCGGGAUGAAAGGGAGCAGUGUGGGGACCCUUUGGAUGGAGCUCAUGGCACCGGGAGC